CCCUUCUCCAAAUUCUUUUCUCUUCCUCCAGAGCCGUCACCCUCCCUAAAUUUUUUUUCUCUUCAAGAGAUGCUACUGUCAAGCAUAGUUUGGAAGCUUUUUUUUUUUCACUUUGAGCUCUAGUUUAAUUGUAGGUCGUUUCCUCUUCCUUUUCCUCUUACUCUGAAAUCUGGAACUACCUCUGGAUCCCUCCUCAUUUCUUACUCAAAAGAACUCAGUCAACAAUCCUUCUCCCAACUCAAAAUCAUCAACUCGAUCUCGUAGCCAGGAGGCGUUUGUGCUAAUUGAGGAAGAGAUAAAAAUACCCUAGUAGUUUUUAGGGAAAAAUAAAAAAUAACCGCCGCUCCUCCUCCGCACGCUCCGCCAAUCGCUCCCUCCAACGAGGUUUGCACGAUCUUCAUAACGGGAUUGCCCGAAGACGUGAAGGAGAGUGAGCUGCAAAACCUUCUGCGGUGGCUACCUGGCUAUGAAGCUUUUCAGGUUAACUUCAAAGGCGAGAAGCCUAUGGGAUUCGCUCUCGCCGCCAAAGACGCUCUUCAGGAGAUGGUUUUUGAUGUGAGUCAAAGUCGGUGUUGCACAUGGAGAUGGCGAAGAAGAAUCUGUUUGUGAAAAGAGGUUGGAUAUAGGCACAUUGAUUGUGCUUAAGUUUACAACAAUGAGAAGGAGGUAAUUUUGCAUAACACCAGAUAUUGUAUAUCAUUUUAGUUGCCAUUUCAUAUCAUGACAUUUUGUUAAGUCAUUCAACUUUGGUUAGAUCUACUCUCAAGUGUUUUUUUUUUUCCUAAAAAUGUUUCUGACCAAAUUGCAGGGGUACUAUAUAGUGCAUUUCACCUUUCAUGUCACUGUGUGGUCUAUGAAGCUUACUGCUUGAUUUGCUAAGAAAUUACUAAAAGCUAGCAGAAGUAACCAUAUUCCUUAGAAUAAUUUAGAAAUGGUCAAUAGUCAUCUCUUUCAUCUUCAUGGCAUAGCUCACUCCUGAUAUUUUCUAAGUCAACCAAGUGUGGGGCAAUGUUAGGAUUUAGUUGUGAGCAAUUUAAUAAAUCAUGUUAAAUAUAAAUAAUUUGAUAUUGUUAUAACACCUCCCUCACAUAUUUACGAUGAUUGGUUGAAUCUGAUAUUGCUUUGGAAGCUGAGAUUGUGUGCAGAAAUGAUCGAAAUCCUGCUUUUCAGAUAUUUGGAUCUUAGGAGUGUAGAACACUAGAACUAAAUAGGGUUUAUUUGAUGAGAGAAAGUUAUAAACAAGUCACUAGCCACACAAUAGGGGAUUUGAAUUGUUAUGCCACUGAGUUAUAAAGCUUUUGGCGACCAUUACACUAUUAAAGGGUCAACAAAAGACAUUAUAAAUUCAUGUGUAUUGGUUGUGCAAGUUUGCAAUACAGUUUACCUUGUCCUCUACCUUGUACUUCAGCCUUAAAUUCCAGAUAGAGUGUACAUUGAUCUCAUAUGCUAGGUUGAGAAUUCAGAUAGUCUACUAAACUUUAAAGUUAAUGACCCGGGUGGCUUUUCCCUAUUUGUCCCUAGCUCCUAGCCCCACAACCACAACCUCUCUCUCUCUAACAAAAUAUGGUUUUUUCCUCUCACAUACUUCCUGUCUUCUUCUUCUUCUUUUUCUUCUUCUUCUUCUUCUUCUUCUUUUUUAUAAAAUCCUUAUAAAAGAAAAAAUUGCAAGUAAAAUUGGCAGUGAGUGAAGUGUGAAGAUUGGGGGAAGGACAGAGAGAAAGGGAAAUGGAAAAAGACGGAGAGGUUGUGUGCGUGACCGGAGGUAGCGGGUGCAUUGGAUCCUGGCUCGUCCAUGAACUCCUCCAUCGUGGCUACAAUGUCCAUGCCACCGUCCAAGAUCUCAGUUAAAAAAAUCAAAUUUGCUCGAUCGAUCUUCCAUCACUUUAUUAUUAUUAUUAUUAUUCUCCUAACCGACUAUCUGUUCUGUUGCAGAGGAUGAGAAUGAAACGAAGCAUUUAGAAGGUCUAGAAGGAGCUGAAACUCAUCUCCAUCUCUUCCAGAUUGAUCUCCUUGACUACCCCUCCAUUCUCCGUGCUGUUAAUGGCUGUGCCGGUGUCUUCCACCUCGCCUCUCCCUGCAUCGUCGAUCAAGUCCAAGACCCCCACAUUAAAACAACAGCGCAGUUAGAUGCAGCUCUUUCAUUUUUUGGAACUACUGCUUCGGAGGAUUUUAAGUUGAAUGAAUUUGAAGAAGCCUGUGGUGUUGGUGUUGAGGUUUCAGUCGAAGAAAUUGAACAAGCUGUAAAUGAGGUUUUUGAAGAGAAUAAGAAUGUGAUUUUGGAGCAAUGCUAUUGAACAAAUGUGGGUGAAUUGUUAGGGCACGUUUGGAGGCGGCACCCAUGGGGUGAUCCAAAAAUUGUGAAGGUUUGUCUGGACAUUAGAACAAUAAAACUGUCCGCAAAUUCUCUCGGGUAGCUUUUUGUUGUACUUUUUUUAAAAAUGUUUUGUGUUUAAUUAUAUUGGUUGACUCAUCAAUCUCUCCUUCUCUCUCUCUAAAUAUAGACACACACAUAUGUAAUCCCAAAUUGAACUGUUUUUGGGGUACAUGGCUUUGUACUUGUGCAGAGAAUGUACCCUCGUUUUGGAAAUUUUAUGUGUUUUGUAUCCUGGAAAUUGUUAUAGAACAUUUUUAUAUUGUUUGUA